CCCUCAAGAUGAGAUUUCCCAUUCCGCAAGGAAGUAAGAUCCCUGAAAGAUGAUCAGGUUGAUAGGUCUGAGGUGGAAGCGUGGUGACACGUGGAGCUGACAGAUACUAAUAGAUCGAGGACUUAACCUAU
rnacentral:rRNA from 1 species